UCUCCUAGUUCUUAUAUGUUGAUAUUUCCAACCCUAUGGACAGGUUGGUUCUCAAGCUCCGUAUGCAUGAAUAUUUAUUUAUUGUCCUUGCGUAUUCGUACUAGUAUUAUGGCUCCUGAGUCCAAAAUUAUCAACAUGAUGAGUAUUGGGAGGUAAAGUGGCAGAAAACUGUCAGCUGCUCAGGGAAGAGAGCAACAUAUCACAUGAAGACAACCUAGAAGGCCCAAUAAGUAGAAAAGCAUCAGAACAGAGGUAUCUUGAGAAGCUAAAAGACGGGUAUCAUAGAUAGUAUAUAUGCUCUUAUGACAACAAAGUAAAUCAAGCAGUCCCAUAUUCCUGUUACGUGAAGUUUCAAGAACAAGAGAAAGAUGGCAAUGCCUUACAUCAUCGAGUGGGAGAUCAAUUCUCAAAUGAUCAAUGGAACAUAAGUGGUGCAUCAACCAGAGCUCUGUUAAGA